UGAAAAUUAAAAACAACGUAUUCUCAUUAUGGUAAAUAUAUUUGAAAAAUAGAUUAAAAAUAAAUUUAUUUGCAUUAUAUACAAGAAAGGAUGUGUUCUAAAUAAAUUUAGAAUCCUUGUUUAUUCUAUGACAAUACAUGAGAAAGAUUAUAUAUCAAAUCAGUGGUCUUUAACCAAUCUUCCACAAAACACUGGUAUUCUGCAAACUUAUCAUAAAUGUUCCACAAAAUCAUGAAAUACAGGCUGUCCCUAAGUUAUAUACAUGAGGUUUCAUGGAAUGAUUUACCUAAGUCAAUACAUACAUUUGUUGGGAACAUACAUUAUACAAUACUAGUGUGUCAAAAUCAUGAAAAACUAAAAAUAAGUUAUAUUAGCCUAGCAGUCAGUGGUGGAUUUCCAAAUAGGCGCACAAGACACAUGCCUUGGGCCUCAUAAAUCAAGGAGGCCUCAAAAUUCAGCUCUCAAAAUAAAAAAAAAUUAUUUUCACAAGUUCAAAUAAUGUAAUUUCGAUUAGUGCGACUUAUAAAAUUGAUACC
rnacentral:lncRNA from 1 species